GGAUUAGGGAGUCAUCAGCUUGGUGUUACUUUUGGUUGUUUACCGCUCUAAUUUACAAUUGAUCUUUUUCAUCUUAUACAUUUGGCCACAUUUUGAAUGCCUUUAGCUUUUUUACUUAGGCACAAUCAAUAUGUAGUUUUACUAAUUUGGCUAUAGGCUAGGCUACCUUUAUUGCUGGCAUAGGCCUACCCACGGAUAGUUACUGCACCCGCAUUCAUUCACUAAAGUUUAGGCUACCUGGCCAGCUGUACACUCAAAGAUUAGCAAGACUUGAAACAUUAAAUAAGUAUGUAGGGAAGCAUCUCUUAGCUUACGUGUAGGCUACACACCCAAAUAAGAAAAAUACCAUAUUGAUUUUUUGUGUGUCGUAUAGGCACUUUCCUAUCCCAACAUUUGUACAAAGUUGAGGGAUAGGUAGCCAUCUGAUUGUCCUUUAAGCUGGCACAUGCUUCAGUGAGCUUUGCACAGUGGCUUUUGUUGACUCUGGCAGUGGGGGCGGGGCACACCACCAAGCGCAAACCUCAACUGAGUUGUGAGAGAAAAUUUUAGGGAAUGCGACUGUGCACGCAAUGCUACUUGAUGGUACAGCUCACACCUGGUGCGAUGUUUAUAGUGACUACUUUCGGUAAAACAUGUUAGAAUUCACCUAGGUAACUACGUAGCCUAUAGCCAACAGUAUAUCUUUUUUUUUUUUUUUUUUUUACAUUUGAAUCUCGAUGGAUGGUACUGUGAGUUGGGUUUAGAACACAAAGGAAACAGGUACAUAGUUACAGUUGUCACUGCGGAUUGAAAAUUGAAACAUUUUGGACAAAGGGUCGGCACUUCGUUCAUGCUGUGAGUAGACCACUAGGCCUAUCUUGUUCAAAAGCCAAGAAAUUCACUUGGAAACCGGACUCUUCUGACCAUCUAUUGUCGUUCUGGACAAACAACUGAUGGGGUCUACAGCUGAUUUUAUCUCUGAUCAAAAUCUGUGUGUUUAUCUAGCCUAUGUAUUUUUGUCUUGUCGAUGCUGAGAGAUUUUAUGUGGAAAAAUAUAGACAUUAAUAAAUAAGUUCAAGAAUUCUGGAAACUCUUAUCCUGAAAUAGACCUAAUAUGAGAACAUAUCCUAUAAAAGCUGGAUUCUUACCAUUAGCCAUAUUGUGUAGGUCUAUAGCCUCACUGUUGUGAUGCAGGAGUUCAAGUGAAUGCUCUGUCCGAUUCCCUGAUUUACUGCAUUUUCAAGACGUGGUGACACUGUGAAGUCUGACCAGAGCAAUGGUGCAAUGGUGUAAUGGUGUCUUCUCCAUAGAUGUUUUUAGUCAUAACAAAUGCUAUAUGAAUGUUCUGUAAAAAAAAAUUAUUCUGUUCACAGGGAGGUUGUGAUUUGUAAGACGCAGUGUUCAUCGGUUGUAUUUUUAAAGUGAGUCAUUUAUUGAGUAUUGAUACCUGUUCACUUGAAGAGCUCAAUAAUUUUAUCACGGAGUGUAUCAAAUAAUUGUUACACAAUUUGCAUGGUUUGAAAUCAUCUUUCAAGGCACGCUGAAUUUGUGAGACAGCACUGAAUUUCCUCUUAUAUCUGAUAUAUCUUAUAUUUAAUAUUAGCAGGUAAUGUAGGCCUACAUGUUACAAUGCAAUUUGUCUUACUUAUUAGCUUAUAAAACUACUUCUUGUAGGUUUCUUUUUGGAUGAAAGGUUUAAAAGACAUCUCCAAAAUAGCAUAUACCCACCAGUAAUCCCUUUAUUCUUGUAAAGCCUGUACAUAAAACUCCCCAAAAAUGUUACGGACUAGUAAUCAUGAUCAUCAUCCACUGAGCAAGGAUAGUGACAUUUCCACCUUGGCACAAUAACCUCAUCUUCAUGGUGAUGUUGAUCCAUCGCUGUUCUAUAUUUUUUUCUUUAUUUUUUCUCACCAUCGCCCUAUGAUGAUGCCGUUUUGUUGUGUUUUUCAGUCCAGUGUGAUGGAGUCUGUUGGUAGUGGCCGAUCUUUGAAAGUCCACCCCCUCUUAAAGAAAGCAAUGCCCUCGCACUUGCACUGUUGAUGCUGUGCAGGCCAUGUGUGCUGGUGUCAGUGCUGGGCACAGUGGCCAUCUUAACUCCCCUCACUCACUCACACGCUGGCAAACCAUCAUCAUCAUCCCUAUGCUCACACAUGUAUGUGCACCAUAGUGCUUUCACGGUGGCGGUUGAAGUCUUCUGGAAUAGUGUCUGGUAAAACACAUAAACAAAGAUGGAUGAUUCAUUUGUAAAGAAAAAACAUCUAAGACAUCAAAUCUUUACAGAUCAUAACAGUUGAAUGCAUUUUAUCAUUUACAGAAUGAGGUUUGUGAAUGUAGCAUUUAAGUUAGCCAUACCAUUACAGCGAUAACGUAGGUUCGACCAAAUUAUGUUCUCUUGGGAGAAGCAGAAGACACCCAGUCUACCACCCCGCAUAGUAGUAUCAACCACCACAUUUGAAUCGGCCACCAUCUCAGUCCCCUCAUAGAGUCUCACUCUAGAACACAGAAAUAAAACGGUCAAACAGCAGCUUUCACCUGUAGCGCUAAUACAAGGAAUACAUGCAAUGCAUCACCUUCUACAGAAUUUUACAAUUGACUGCAGUUCAGUCAUUGCACAUCCCUCAGUGAAUUUGUAAUUUACUUUAUAGACUUUUAUGAUACUCAUCCUGUAAUUUCAAGUGACAUACCAAGUAAGUAACAACGUUUUUAACUCUGAAACAGGGGGGUGGGUUAGGGGGAAAGUUGGGGACUGCAGAAGCAAAUGGGCAUGCCUACUGUAUUCACUGGGUGAUGACGCAAUGGGAGAAAGGAACCCAAGCUCAAGUGCAGUGAGUCGUCUAUUCACCAGUCUGCCCAGAAUACAAAGCAGGUGUCUCUCUGUUGGUGUUUCAAUGGGCCUCCUAGCCAAACAAAGACCUGGCUCUCCCCAUGGGGAGAGGCUCCAAUACCCUUUUCCAACAGACAAACUGUAAUUUGUGUAAAAGCUAAUAAAGUAUUUUUUUGUAAUUGUUUAAAUCCUCUUACAAUAACACCGGAAUGUGGUCAACUGUCUGAAUAAAACACAGUAUUGGUGCUCUGUCCAGACAUGUGUUAUCCUAUUUGUUUUGAAGAUUUUACCAUUUUAAAAUAAAUACUUUUUAAACGUAA